UACAGAGGGUGCAAGCGUUAAUCGGAAUUACUGGGCGUAAAGCGCGCGUAGGUGGUUUUGUUAAGUUGGAUGUGAAAUCCCGCGGCUCAACCCGUGGAACUGCUGGGGUAUACUGCCGGUCUCGGGCCAACUAGGGGCAACUGGAACAAGCGGUGGAGCGGUGAAAUGCGUAGAUAUCGCUUGGAACGCCGAAGGUGAAAACAGGUUGCUGGGGUUGUGCCGACGCUGAGACACGAAAAGCCAGGGGAGGCGAACGGG
rnacentral:rRNA from 1 species